CCCUUAGAUGUUCUGGGUCGCACGCGCGCUACACUGACGAUGGCAACGAGUUUUUCCUUCGCCGAAAGGUGUGGGUAAUCUUUUGAAACAUCGUCGUGCUGGGGAUAGAUCAUUGCAAUUUUUGAUCUUGAACGAGGAAUUCCUAGUAAGCGCGAGUCAUCAGCUCGCGUUGAUUACGUCCCUGCCCUUUGUACACACCGCCCGUCGCUACUACCGAUUGAAUGGUUUAGUGAGGACUCCUGAUUGGCGCCGCCGCCCCGGCAACGGAGCAGCGGACUGCCGAAAAGUUGUUCAAACUUGAUCAUUUAGAGGAAGUAAAAGUCGUAACA
rnacentral:rRNA from 1 species